rnacentral:rRNA from 1 species
GUGGGGAAUUUUGGACAAUGGGCGCAAGCCUGAUCCAGCAAUGCCGCGUGCAGGAAGAAGGCCUUCGGGUUGUAAACUGCUUUUGUACGGAACGAAACGGUCCGGGUUAAUACCCUGGGCUAAUGACGGUACCGUAAGAAUAAGCACCGGCUAACUACGUGCCAGCAGCCGCGGUAAUACGUAGGGUGCAAGCGUUAAUCGGAAUUACUGGGCGUAAAGCGUGCGCAGGCGGUUUUGUAAGACAGGCGUGAAAUCCCCGGGCUCAACCUGGGAAUUGCGCUUGUGACUGGAAGGCUGGAGUGCGGCAGAGGGGGAUGGAAUUCCGCGUGUAGCAGUGAAAUGCGUAGAUAUGCGGAGGAACACCGAUGGCGAAGGCAAUCCCCUGGGCCUGCACUGACGCUCAUGCACGAAAGCGUGGGGAGCAAACAGGAUUAGAAACCCUUGUAGUCC